UACGGAGGGUGCAAGCGUUAUCCGGAUUCACUGGGUUUAAAGGGUGCGUAGGUGGGUUGAUAAGUCAGUGGUGAAAUCCCCGAGCUUAACUUGGGAACUGCCAUUGAUACUAUUGAUCUUGAAUACCGUGGAGGUCAGCGGAAUAUGUCAUGUAGCGGUGAAAUGCUUAGAUAUGACAUAGAACACCAAUUGCGAAGGCAGCUGGCUACGCGAAUAUUGACACUGAUGCACGAAAGCGUGGGGAUCAAAACAGG
rnacentral:rRNA from 1 species